GUGAGACAGUUCGGUCUCUAUCUCAUGUGGGCGGAGGAGAUUUGAGGAGAGCUCCCUACAGUACGAGAGGACCUAGGGGGACGGACCUCCGGUGUCCCAGUUGUCCUGCCAAGGGCAUCGCUGGGUAGCCGUGUCCGGAGAGGAUAAGCGCUGAAUGCAUCUAAGUGCCAAGCCUCCUCCAAGAUAAGAUCUCCCGGGCGCAAGCCCCUGAAGGCCCCUGGCAGACUACCAGGUUGAUAGGCCGCAGGUAUAAGGCCCGCAAGGGCUUCAGCCAAGCGGUACUAAUCGGCCGUGCGGCUUGACCAC
rnacentral:rRNA from 1 species